rnacentral:rRNA from 1 species
GGUUCGAGUAUGAAUGAAGUUUUGAUAAUUUUUUUUAUUAAUUUUAUAAUGAAUUUUUUUUGUAAAUAAAAAAUUUUGUUUUUAUUUUUGCAAAGAUAAGUCUUCGUAAAUUCUUUUUAAUUUUUUUAAAAAAAAAAAUUAAAGUUUUCUAGGGUAGAAUUUUUUGUAUGUAUAUUUUUCUAUUAUUAGUUUAGAGAAUUACUUCGGAGUUAACAGAAAUUCAUAUUUUAUCUAGUUCUUAUAGUAAAGUAAGUUUUACAUCGGUGUUGUAUUUAUAUUGUUUGGGAGGUAGAAUGUUCAAUAUUUAAGACUGUUCUUCUUUUUAGUAUAACGUGAUAUUAGUUUAAUUCAUCGUGAGAUAGAAUUGUUUAUCUUGAAAAAUAAUUUUUUUUUUUAGGUUUUUAGUACGAAAGGAAAAAUAGUUGAAGUUAAAAACUUUAUGAUGUACGG